rnacentral:piRNA from 1 species
UACAGUUAACACCUGAGAAUUGCCAGCUAGA